UACGUAGGGUGCAAGCGUUAAUCGGAAUUACUGGGCGUAGAGCGUGCGCGGGCGGUUUUGUAAGUCUGUCGUGAAAGCCCCGGGCUCAACCUGGGAAUUGCGAUGGAGACUGCAAGGCUUGAAUCUGGCAGAGGGGGGUAGAAUUCCACGUGUAGCAGUGAAAUGCGUAGAGAUGUGGAGGAACACCGAUGGCGAAGGCAGCCCCCUGGGUCAAGAUUGACGCUCAUGCACGAAAGCGUGGGGAGCAAACAGG
rnacentral:rRNA from 1 species